CAUGAAUUUUGGAAACGCACCCAUUAGUUGCCAGUUCAUGGAGUUUUCCCUGAGAGGAGAAAAUGAUAACACCGACUUCAGCAUCGCAAAGCACUGAGAGUUCCCUGGCCUUCUUGAGCAGCCCUUCUCGACGCUUGCAGAAGAUGACCUUCAGCCUGGACUAGCCUUGAAGUUAUAGUGGUGCUACUAAAAGAUAUUAACUGCGUACUCCUCUCAGAUCAAACUACUGAUGCAAUGAAGCGAUCUGCUUUUAUAUAGCACUCCCAACUUCAGAGGAAUAUGAGGCUUGCUUGGCAUCCCUCCAGGGUACUUAAAAGUUAAAAGCACUUUGCAAGUCAUUGUACAUCUUUCAUUUUGCUCUUGUAGAUUCUCAUAAAUAUUGUAAUAUGGUACAGUAUUAUACUUAUUGCUUCUUUGCUUUGUCACUAAUGACUAAUUUAACUAAUCUUGUAAGAUUCUGAUAUCACAUCUAAGGACCUUUUCAUUGUUUAUCUCA